GUGUAAUACUGCCCCUGACUUAGGGUGACCAAAUUUCCUAACUGUCAUUCAGUUACACUGUCAGAAAUGCAUUCCAUACAUUUUACUCUACCCCUCUCUACCCCUUCCAAUCAUAUUAGAACCCCACCUACCCCUUCCAUGAAUAUUAGAACCACCCCUACCCCUCCCAUUAAUAUUAGAACCACCCCUACCCCUUCCAUGCACAAAAGAACCCCACCUACUCCUUCCACGCAUAUUAACCCCCCUACCCCUUCCAUGCAUAUUAGUACCCCCCUAACCCCU